UACGGGGGGAGCAAGCGUUGUUCGGAUUUACUGGGCGUAAAGGGCGCGUAGGCGGCCACCGCAAGUCAGUUGUGAAAGCUCUGGGCUUAACCCAGAACGGUCAGCUGAUACUGCGGGGCUAGAGUGCAGAAGGGGCAACUGGAAUUCUCGGUGUAGCGGUGAAAUGCGUAGAUAUCGAGAGGAACACCUGCGGCGAAGGCGGGUUGCUGGGCUGACACUGACGCUGACAGCGCGAAAGCUAGGGGAGCGAACGGG
rnacentral:rRNA from 1 species